GGAUGAACGCUGGCGGCGUGCCUAAUACAUGCAAGUCGAACGCUGGAAAUCUAGCUUGCUCGAUUGAAGGAGUGGCGAACGGGUGAGUAAUACAUAAGCAACCUACCCACGAAGACUGGGAUAAUCUCUGGAAACGGGGACUAAUACCGGAUAGGUAAUCGGAAGGCAUCUUCUGAUUAUUAAAGGUUAAAAACACUGGUGGAUGGGCUUAUGGCGCAUUAGUUAGUUGGUGAGGUAACGGCCCACCAAGACGAUGAUGCGUAGCCGGCCUGAGAGGGUGAACGGCCACAUUGGGACUGAGACACGGCCCAGACUCCUACGGGAGGCAGCAGUAGGGAAUUUUCGGCAAUGGGGGAAACCCUGACCGAGCAACGCCGCGUGAGUGAUGACGGCCUUCGGGUUGUAAAGCUCUGUUGUAAGGGAAGAACGGUAGAUAGAGAAUAUCUAAAUGACGGUACCUUACCAGAAAGCCACGGCUAACUACGUG
rnacentral:rRNA from 1 species